GCUCCUGGAUUCAGCGGCGGACGGGUGAGUAAUGCCUAGGAAUCUGCCUGGUAGUGGGGGACAACGUUUCGAAAGGAACGCUAAUACCGCAUACGUCCUACGGGAGAAAGCAGGGGACCUUCGGGCCUUGCGCUAUCAGAUGAGCCUAGGUCGGAUUAGCUAGUUGGUGAGGUAAUGGCUCACCAAGGCGACGAUCCGUAACUGGUCUGAGAGGAUGAUCAGUCACACUGGAACUGAGACACGGUCCAGACUCCUACGGGAGGCAGCAGUGGGGAAUAUUGGACAAUGGGCGAAAGCCUGAUCCAGCCAUGCCGCGUGUGUGAAGAAGGUCUUCGGAUUGUAAAGCACUUUAAGUUGGGAGGAAGGGCAGUAACUUAAUACGUUGCUGUUUUGACGUUACCGACAGAAUAAGCACCGGCUAACUCUGUGCCAGCAGCCGCGGUAAUACAGAGGGUGCAAGCGUUAAUCGGAAUUACUGGGCGUAAAGCGCGCGU
rnacentral:rRNA from 1 species